rnacentral:rRNA from 1 species
UUGUAGCAAUACAACUGGCGCACGGCGCACGGGUGCGUAACACGUGGGCAAUCUGCCCUUCGAUGGGGAAUAACUCCGGGAAACCGAAGCUAAUUCCGCAUAACAUUCCUUGGACUUCGGUUCGAGGACUCAAAGCCGUAAGGCGUCGGAGGAGGAGCCCGCGCACGAUUAGCUAGUUGGUAGGGUAACGGCCUACCAAGGCUUUGAUCGUUAGCUGGUCUGAGAGGAUGGCCAGCCACACUGGAACUGAGACACGGUCCAGACUCCUACGGGAGGCAGCAGUGGGGAAUCUUGCACAAUGGGCGAAAGCCUGAUGCAGCGACGCCGCGUGGGGGAUGAAGCAUUUCGGUGUGUAAACCCCUUUCGACCCGGACGAAUGCCUCGCAAGAGGAGUGACGGUACGGGUAUAAGAAGCCCCGGCUAACUACGUGCCAGCAGCCGCGGUAAGACGUAGGGGGCCAGCGUUGUUCGGAAUUACUGGGUGUAAAGGGUUCGUAGGCGGUGUGGCAAGUUGGGAGUGAAAUCUCUGGGCUCAACCCAGAGGCUGCUUCCAAAACUGCUGUGCUUGAGUGUGGGAGAGGCGCGUGGAAUUGCAGGUGUAGCGGUGAAAUGCGUAGAUAUCUGCAGGAACACCCGUGGCGAAAGCGGCGCGCUGGACCACAACUGACGCUGAGGAACGAAAGCUAGGGGAGCAAACAGGAUUAGAUACCCUGGUAGUCCUAGCCCUAAACGAUCAGGACUUGGGGUGCCGCACGUUCGUGCGUCGUCCCGGAGCUAACGCGUUAAGUCCUGCACCUGGGGAGUACGGUCGCAAGACUG